UCCAUCUCGUGGGGAGGACUGAAGAAGUGGGGGUGGAAUCAGGCUGUGAGGCACAGAGUGGAGGGAAGAAUGAAAGCACUUGCCUGCAUUUCUCUGUGUCUUUGGUAUCAAGAUGGGUCUGAAAGGGCAAUGGUGUUUUCCUUGGUCUGGUCCUCGGAGGCAGCGAGGGAACCAAAGGGGAACAGCCCUGACUUUGGCCUCCCAUCCAGACUCUAAUCAGGCCAGGGGGCACCCCCUGCCUGGAGGAGGACCCCCUCUGGGAGACAGUGCCUACUUCAGCAGCAAAGCUCGACUCUCCUUCCGUCACCAGCUGCAUGCCACAACUUCGGCCAACGACUCUACCAACUGAAGUCUGGUGGGGACUGACAACUCCUAGGUGGCCGUCAAAUCCUGACCUUACAUGUCCCACUUCUCAUUAAAUCUAUCCAUUGAUAGCCA